UAUGCCACCUAGCUGCCCCGGGAAAAAUCUUUGUGUAAUUUCUAGAUGUACUACUGCUUCUCUUCCUCACCUUAGGAGCCUUCCUUUGCAACAAAGAAAAGCACCUGACAUGAUGACCACAUCCAACAGUAGUGCCACUAUUCUUUCUUCUAUCCAAGGAAAGGAUGGAGAAAAACCUGGGAAGACUUACAUGCACUGAUGCAAAGUGAA